AGGAAGAGGGAAGAGACCCACGAAAGCACUCUUAGAAGGAAAACCAUGUCUCACAAUUUGGGACAAAUCAGACAUGACCCUCGUGAAAUCCCUAGGCAAAGAAAGAGAGGACAGCAGCUCGUGCCCAUAUUCUAUUCGUGCUCGUCUUGCAGGUCGAAUGCUUCAUCGGAAGAGAGAACUUUAUUCUCCCAAUUCCCGAACCUUCCCCCAAAACUACGCCUUGUGCCGUUUACGGAAUACCGAAUCUAUCGCAAACCGUAACACCGAUGCGCCCUUCCCGGUACAGCCGCUCGCAAAAUCUCUUUCCACGAAGAGGCGCCUCGCCGCCUCCCCCUCCCGAAUGCCCGCGCCGCGGCAGCUGCCCCUCCUCCUGAAGAUCGCCGCCGCGUCGGCCGCCGGCGCAUUGGCGUUCGUCGCGGCGGCGCGCCUCCUGCGGGAUGACGCGGUCUCCUCCCUCCGCCGGGACAUCCGCGAGGCCGUCGCCGCCCUCGUCUCCAGCAACGAGGACGGCGACGGCGGCGAGGACCAGGGGGACGAGGACGCGCCGCCGCCGUCCAUCCUGAUCACGGGGUUCCGGGCCCACGGGAAGAGCUCGCUCGUGAACACGGCGUGCCGCGCGCUCGCCGGCGAGGUGGGCCCGCUGCUGCUGCGCGCGGAGGCGUCGCCGCCGGGCGGCGGGUCCGACAGCACGAGGAAGCGGCUGAAGGUGAAGGCGGUGGUCUCCGGCGCGGACGGGGAAAUGGGGGCGGAGGAGGCGGUGGUGGAGCUGCUGGACGCGCCGCCGCUCCCUGACGCCGCGAGGCUGACGAGGGAUGCGAUCGACGACGCGAUCAGCAGCGGGAACCCGGAGUGCGUGGUGCUGGUGCUGCGAUGCGACGCGCCCGCCACAAGGAGCGGAAUGCGGCCAUCAAGCGCCUGCCGGAGAUCUCUGCCGCCGCGAGGGCGAAAGGGCUUAAUUUGAUUAUUGCAUUGACUUUUAAGAAGUCCGUGAGUUCAGUAAGGCAAGCUGAAGAGCUUCUAAGAGAGGUUUCGUUCAGGGCAAGGACGGAUUGUGUAUACUUCAUCGAGAACUACACCUGGAGCAACAGUGGCUCCAACCUCCUCCACCCCCCUGUCAUCAAGAAUGACUUUGGGACAGAUUUCACCGUGCUGACAAUCAUUCGACAGUGUCUUGAGUUCAUCAAGCUAAAUAGGAGUCAAAAGGAUAAGAGAGACCCCAAGCAGGCAGACACACAGGCAGAUGCUAAAACAGCCCCUAAAGUUUAGUGACACAAAUGUAAGGCAUUUCUAUAGUUGUGCACAUACAGGAUCAUCACUGAUUUGCACAGGUAUGAUCUUCUGCGGUAUGAUGUAUGUUGACACAGACAUAGUCUGACAAGCUGUACAAAAUGUACCUUCAUUAUAUAUGUAUAAUAUUGUUAUAGGCC